rnacentral:snRNA from 1 species
AUAUUUACCUGGCAGGGGAGACACCAUGAUUAUGAAGGUAGUUUUCCCAGGGCAAGGCUUGUCCAUUGCACUCUGGAUGUGCUGACCCCUGCAAUUUCCCCAAAUGUGGGAAACUCAAUUGCAUAAUUUGUGGUAGUGGGGGACUGCAUUCACGCUUUCCCCUU